UCUCAUUUCUUCCUCUCAGCUGUUCUUUCUAUGGGGUGAUUAUUCUUUAUGCUGCAGAUGAGGGAGCUGAGGCUCGGUGAAGUCGUUGAGCCUGAAUUAGGAAAUGGCAGAGCAGGACCUCAAGUCCAUGCCUUUGGAAUCCUAAUUAAAGUAAUGAGAUGAGGAAAUUGAUGUCUCAUCAAAAUGGAGAUUAAUCAUUUGUAUUUGGGAGCAGCAGAACUGGGGACCAAUUACCUCUCAAGAGUUUUAUAAACCAAUUAUCAUAACUCCUAUUCCAUUGCUCUCAUCCCCAUCUCACCUUCAAACUUGUCUUACCUAUGGCAUUCAGGAGGCAAGUGAAAAACUUCGUGAAAAAUUACUCAGAUGCUGAAAUAAAAGUCAGAGAAGCAACUUCUAAUGACCCUUGGGGUCCUUCUAGUUCUCUAAUGUUAGAUAUCAGUGACCUGACUUUCAACACAAUUUCUCUGUCAGAGAUUAUGAGCAUGCUAUGGCAGAGACUCAACGAUCACGGGAAGAACUGGCGCCAUGUAUAUAAAUCCCUUACGCUGAUGGAUUAUCUCAUCAAGAACGGAUCAAAGAAAGUUAUUCAGCAUUGCAGAGAGGGGUUCUGUAACCUUCAAACACUGAAAGAUUUUCAACACAUUGAUGAAGCUGGAAAAGACCAAGGGUAUUAUAUCCGGGAGAAGUCUAAGCAAGUCCUAACAUUGCUGAUGGAUGAACAGUUGCUGCACAGAGAGAGGGAAGUAGCAUGUCGGACAAGACGGCGUACCUCCUACUCCAUGACAUUUCCUAAAAGAUUACCUGGUACAGCUAACUCACCAACAGCAUGUGCUUCCGCCCACACGCCAGAAAAUCCUGCCUCAGAGAAGAAACCUAAGCUUCUUAAGGUUGCAAGGCUACGUAAUAAAAAAAACACUUCCAAGGCAGGAGUGAAACAAGAGCAGUGCCAAGACACUCAGUUGCCUAGUGGAACCGCGUUGUCCCAGGGAACACAACCGGUCAAGACUAAUGCUUGGAAAUCCAUAGAGGACCUGAUGUUAUUUUAUGAGGAUGAUCCAAAGCCACUUUUGCCGACAAUUCCUCCUUCCAUUAUCUCGUCAACUAAAUGGCUAUCAGAAGGACCAGCAGACGUUUGUAACCUCUGGG